GUCCAGACCGAGACCCAGAGAAAUGUAAACAAACGCACCAGUCAGACUUGAUAUAGGAGUGAAUUUGUUGCUUUUUAAAGCGGCAGUCGGUCUGUACAUGUGUGAGGUGGCGAGGGGUGUCGCCUGGGGGCGGCUAGUAGCGUCUGCCACCAGGGAAAUAUGUAAAAACAUAAAAAAGACGCUUCUCAAGAAAGAGAGGGGCAGUCGGUCUGUACAUGCGUGAGGUGGCGAGAGGCGUGUCCAGGGGGCGGCUAGUAGCGUGUGCCACCGUGGAAAUAUGUACAGACAUAAAGAAGACGCCCUCAAGAAAGGCCUGAGUCCAGACCGAGACCCAGAGAAAUGUAAACAAACGCACCAGUCAGACUUGAUAUAGGAGUGAAUUUGUUGCUUUUUAAAGCGGCAGUCGGUCUGUACAUGUGUGAGGUGGCGAGGGGUGUCGCCAGGGGGCGGCUAGUAGCGUCUGCCACCAGGGAAAUAUGUAAAAACAUAAAAAAGACGCUUCUCAAGAAAGAGAGGGGCAGUCGGUCUGUACAUGCGUGAGGUGGCGAGAGGCGUGUCCAGGGGGCGGCUAGUAGCGUGUGCCACCGUGGAAAUAUGUACAGACAUAAAGAAGACGCCCUCAAGAAAGGCCUGAGUCCAGACCGAGACCCAGAGAAAUGUAAACAAACGCACCAGUCAGACUUGAUAUAGGAGUGAAUUUGUUGCUUUUUAAAGCGGCAGUCGGUCUGUACAUGUGUGAGGUGGCGAGGGGUGUCGCCAGGGGGCGGCUAGUAGCGUCUGCCACCAGGGAAAUAUGUAAAAACAUAAAAAAGACGCUUCUCAAGAAAGAGAGGGGCAGUCGGUCUGUACAUGCGUGAGGUGGCGAGAGGCGUGUCCAGGGGGCGGCUAGUAGCGUGUGCCACCGUGGAAAUAUGUACAGACAUAAAGAAGACGCCCUCAAGAAAGGCCUGAGUCCAGACCGAGACCCAGAGAAAUGUAAACAAACGCACCAGUCAGACUUGAUAUAGGAGUGAAUUUGUUGCUUUUUAAAGCGGCAGUCGGUCUGUACAUGUGUGAGGUGGCGAGGGGUGUCGCCAGGGGGCGGCUAGUAGCGUCUGCCACCAGGGAAAUAUGUAAAAACAUAAAAAAGACGCUUCUCAAGAAAGAGAGGGGCAGUCGGUCUGUACAUGCGUGAGGUGGCGAGAGGCGUGUCCAGGGGGCGGCUAGUAGCGUGUGCCACCGUGGAAAUAUGUACAGACAUAAAGAAGACGCCCUCAAGAAAGGCCUGAGUCCAGACCGAGACCCAGAGAAAUGUAAACAAACGCACCAGUCAGACUUGAUAUAGGAGUGAAUUUGUUGCUUUUUAAAGCGGCAGUCGGUCUGUACAUGUGUGAGGUGGCGAGGGGUGUCGCCAGGGGGCGGCUAGUAGCGUCUGCCACCAGGGAAAUAUAUAAAAACAUAAAAAAGACGCUUCUCAAGAAAGAGAGGGGCAGUCGGUCUGUACAUGCGUGAGGUGGCGAGAGGCGUGUCCAGGGGGCGGCUAGUAGCGUGUGCCACCGUGGAAAUAUGUACAGACAUAAAGAAGACGCCCUCAAGAAAGGCCUGAGUCCAGACCGAGACCCAGAGAAAUGUAAACAAACGCACCAGUCAGACUUGAUAUAGGAGUGAAUUUGUUGCUUUUUAAAGCGGCAGUCGGUCUGUACAUGUGUGAGGUGGCGAGGGGUGUCGCCAGGGGGCGGCUAGUAGCGUCUGCCACCAGGGAAAUAUAUAAAAACAUAAAAAAGACGCUUCUCAAGAAAGAGAGGGGCAGUCGGUCUGUACAUGCGUGAGGUGGCGAGAGGCGUGUCCAGGGGGCGGCUAGUAGCGUGUGCCACCGUGGAAAUAUGUACAGACAUAAAGAAGACGCCCUCAAGAAAGGCCUGAGUCCAGACCGAGACCCAGAGAAAUGUAAACAAACGCACCAGUCAGACUUGAUAUAGGAGUGAAUUUGUUGCUUUUUAAAGCGGCAGUCGGUCUGUACAUGUGUGAGGUGGCGAGGGGUGUCGCCAGGGGGCGGCUAGUAGCGUCUGCCACCAGGGAAAUAUAUAAAAACAUAAAAAAGACGCUUCUCAAGAAAGAGAGGGGCAGUCGGUCUGUACAUGCGUGAGGUGGCGAGAGGCGUGUCCAGGGGGCGGCUAGUAGCGUGUGCCACCGUGGAAAUAUGUACAGACAUAAAGAAGACGCCCUCAAGAAAGGCCUGAGUCCAGACCGAGACCCAGAGAAAUGUAAACAAACGCACCAGUCAGACUUGAUAUAGGAGUGAAUUUGUUGCUUUUUAAAGCGGCAGUCGGUCUGUACAUGUGUGAGGUGGCGAGGGGUGUCGCCAGGGGGCGGCUAGUAGCGUCUGCCACCAGGGAAAUAUGUAAAAACAUAAAAAAGACGCUUCUCAAGAAAGAGAGGGGCAGUCGGUCUGUACAUGCGUGAGGUGGCGAGAGGCGUGUCCAGGGGGCGGCUAGUAGCGUGUGCCACCGUGGAAAUAUGUACAGACAUAAAGAAGACGCCCUCAAGAAAGGCCUGAGUCCAGACCGAGACCCAGAGAAAUGUAAACAAACGCACCAGUCAGACUUGAUAUAGGAGUGAAUUUGUUGCUUUUUAAAGCGGCAGUCGGUCUGUACAUGUGUGAGGUGGCGAGGGGUGUCGCCAGGGGGCGGCUAGUAGCGUCUGCCACCAGGGAAAUAUGUAAAAACAUAAAAAAGACGCUUCUCAAGAAAGAGAGGGGCAGUCGGUCUGUACAUGCGUGAGGUGGCGAGAGGCGUGUCCAGGGGGCGGCUAGUAGCGUGUGCCACCGUGGAAAUAUGUACAGACAUAAAGAAGACGCCCUCAAGAAAGGCCUGAGUCCAGACCGAGACCCAGAGAAAUGUAAACAAACGCACCAGUCAGACUUGAUAUAGGAGUGAAUUUGUUGCUUUUUAAAGCGGCAGUCGGUCUGUACAUGUGUGAGGUGGCGAGGGGUGUCGCCAGGGGGCGGCUAGUAGCGUCUGCCACCAGGGAAAUAUGUAAAAACAUAAAAAAGACGCUUCUCAAGAAAGAGAGGGGCAGUCGGUCUGUACAUGCGUGAGGUGGCGAGAGGCGUGUCCAGGGGGCGGCUAGUAGCGUGUGCCACCGUGGAAAUAUGUACAGACAUAAAGAAGACGCCCUCAAGAAAGGCCUGAGUCCAGACCGAGACCCAGAGAAAUGUAAACAAACGCACCAGUCAGACUUGAUAUAGGAGUGAAUUUGUUGCUUUUUAAAGCGGCAGUCGGUCUGUACAUGUGUGAGGUGGCGAGGGGUGUCGCCAGGGGGCGGCUAGUAGCGUCUGCCACCAGGGAAAUAUGUAAAAACAUAAAAAAGACGCUUCUCAAGAAAGGUAAGGCCGGUUGCAGC